rnacentral:rRNA from 1 species
UACGAAGGGGGCUAGCGUUGCUCGGAAUUACUGGGCGUAAAGCGCACGUAGGCGGAUUGUUAAGUCGGGGGUGAAAUCCUGGAGCUCAACUCCAGAACUGCCUUCGAUACUGGCGAUCUCGAGUUCGGGAGAGGUGAGUGGAACUGCGAGUGUAGAGGUGAAAUUCGUAGAUAUUGGGAAGAACACCAGUGGCGAAGGCGGCUAACUGGUCCGGAUCUGACGCUGAGGUGCGAAAGCGUGGGGAGCAAACAGG